CUACGGGGGGCUGCAGUGAGGAAUAUUGGUCAAUGGGCGCAAGCCUGAACCAGCCAUGCCGCGUGCAGGAAGAAGGUCCUAUGGAUUGUAAACUGCUUUUAUUUGGGAAUAAACCUAUUUACGUGUAGAUAGCUGAAGGUACCAAAUGAAUAAGCACCGGCUAACUCCGUGCCAGCAGCCGCGGUAAUACGGAGGGUGCAAGCGUUAUCCGGAAUCAUUGGGUUUAAAGGGUCCGCAGGCGGACUUAUAAGUCAGUGGUGAAAGCCUACAGCUCAACUGUAGAACUGCCAUUGAUACUGUAAGUCUUGAAUAUGUUCGGAGUGGGCGGAAUGUGACAUGUAGCGGUGAAAUGCUUAGAUAUGUCACAGAACACCGAUAGCGAAGGCAGCUCACUAGACCAUUAUUGACGCUCAUGGACGAAAGCGUGGGGAGCAAACAGGAUUAGAUACCCUAGUAGUC
rnacentral:rRNA from 1 species